rnacentral:lncRNA from 1 species
UAAUUAUAGAUACUACGAUUGAUUCGUGGUCAGUCUCAAUAAGUCCGUACUAUGGUAUUAUUCUAUAUAGAUCAUGAGCUAGAUCCAAUCUGAUAUCAUUUGUCACAACAUAGGAUCUCCCCCCCAAACAAACUCAUCAUAUAUUCUAUAGGGAAAUCCCUAGAGAACGUGAAGAGCCAAAUGGUUGGUUUGAGGCAUUGACAAAUUCAAUGUUAGAAAGAGUAAACAAGUUGCUUUUGGAGGAUUGAGAAAUAAGCUAGGGUGCAAAAAAGGAGACCCACUAGGCCCCUUGUCAUUGGUGAGCUAUCUCUAUCCUCAUUUUGCAAGCAGGGCCUAAUUGAAACAAAGGAGAUCUUGGACCCUAGGACCUCCCUUUUUGUUGCGACAAACUCAAUUCCAGCUUAAUUUGCAAGUAAGAUCGGAAGCUACAUCAGAACCAAUCCAAAGAAAGGCUCGUCUGAGCUUAUCCACUCUUUUGGCAACCCAUGAAGGGAUUUUGAAAAGAGAGGAAAUAAGUUGGAAUGGCAACAAGGAUAGAAUUGAUCAAAAUAAGUCUACCUCCAAAGGAGAGUAACUCUUUUUUUCUAAGACGAGAGUCUCAGUUCAAUUUUCUGUAUCACAAGCAGCCAGAGUGUGAUAGCUCCCUGACUUUAGAGGUAAUCCAAAGUAUUAGAUAGGAAGAGAUGUUAGUUUAUAGU